ACAACCUAAGUAUCGCUCCAUCUUCGUCGAAGGGGAAACAAAAAAUUGGCAGCUCAACUGGAAAAGAAAAUUGGUUUACUCAAUCGGUAUGUUGUAUUGAUCGUUCUUGAAGUAUUGAUAAAAAUUAUUUAACACAUCAUAUCUAAUAGCUAUCUAACGUGUUGGUAUUUCGGUUAGAGCGAUAUACACUAUAUUGUCAGUGAUAUUUUUGAGUUCCUCACCCCUCACUCUUACACAUCUCUCUCACGCACACACGACUUUAUUCUUACAUGAAUUUCGCAGCUCUACAUGAAUUUGAUUUUGGACUUGCUAACAUAUUGUCCAAAUUAU
rnacentral:lncRNA from 1 species